rnacentral:rRNA from 1 species
UGGAUCCAGACUUUGAUUAUGGCUCAGGAUGAACGCUAGCGGCAGGCUUAACACAUGCAAGUCGAGGGGCAGCGCGGGAUAGCAAUAUUCUGGCGGCGACCGGCGGAGGGGUGCGUAACGCGUGAGCGACAUGCCCGUUGCCCGGGGACAACCGGUGGAAACGCCGACUAAUCCCCGAUGGGAUACGAUGCUGCAUGGCAUUGUAUUGGAAGUUACGGCGGCGACGGAUUGGCUCGCGUCCGAUUAGCUUGUUGGCGGGGUGACGGCCCACCAAGGCUACGAUCGGUAGGGGUUCUGUGAGGAAGGCCUCCCACAAUGGGACUGAGACACGGCCCAUACUCCUACGGGAGGCAGCAGUGAGGAAUAUAGGUCAAUGGGCGGAAGCCUGAACCAGCCAUGCCGCGUGCGGGAAGGAGGCCCUAUGGGCUGUGAACCGCUUUUGCCUGGGGGCAAUAAGGGCGUCGCGCACGUCCGAUGAGAGUACCAGGCGAAUAAGCAUCGGCUAACUCCGUGCCAGCAGCCGCGGUAAUACGGGGGAUGCGAGCGUUAUCCGGAUUCAUUGGGUUUAAAGGGUGCGUAGGCUGUGCGUCAAGUCGGGGGUGAAAUUCCGGUGCUCAACACCGGGGCUGCCCUUGAUACUGUCGCGCUGGAGUGCGGAUGCCGCCGGAGGAAUGAGUGGUGUAGCGGUGAAAUGCUUAGAUAUCACUCAGAACACCGAUUGCGAAGGCAUCUGGCGAAUCCGUAACUGACGCCGAGGCACGAAAGCGUGGGGAUAGAACAGGAUUAGAUACCCUGGUAUUCCACGCCGUAAACGAUGAUGGCUAACCGCCGGCGACACACUGUCGGUGGCCAAGCGAAAGCGAUAAGCCAUCCACCUGGGGAGUAUGUCGGCAACGAUGCAACUCAAAUGAAUUGACGGA